ACUGCGAAAAGAGAAACACAGUUAAUGUUUCAAGCAUGACUGAAGACAACAAAUGCUGGAGAUCAUAAUAGAGAGCAGCGCGAGCUGGGCGGAAGUGAGGUUGGAGCGCAGAGCUGGUCGGGAAGAUGCUGCCAGACCGGACAAGUUUUUCCAGCAGUUUCUUUGUGUUUUCAAGUAGUUACAUG